AAUGGACGAAAGUCUGACCGAGCAACGCCGCGUGAGUGAAGAAGGUUUUCGGAUCGUAAAACUCUGUUGUUAGAGAAGAACAAGGAUGAGAGUAACUGUUCAUCCCUUGACGGUAUCUAACCAGAAAGCCACGGCUAACUACGUGCCAGCAGCCGCGGUAAUACGUAGGUGGCAAGCGUUGUCCGGAUUUAUUGGGCGUAAAGCGAGCGCAGGCGGUUUCUUAAGUCUGAUGUGAAAGCCCCCGGCUCAACCGGGGAGGGUCAUUGGAAACUGGGAGACUUGAGUGCAGAAGAGGAGAGUGGAAUUCCAUGUGUAGCGGUGAAAUGCGUAGAUAUAUGGAGGAACACCAGUGGCGAAGGCGGCUCUCUGGUCUGUAACUGACGCUGAGGCUCGAAAGCGUGGGGAGCAAACAGGAUUAGAUACCCUGGUAGUCCACGCCGUAAACGAUGAGUGCUAAGUGUCGGAGGGUCUCCGCCCUUCAGUGCUGCAGCUAACGCAUCAAGCACUCCGCCUGGGGAGUACGACCGC
rnacentral:rRNA from 1 species